UACGAAGGGGGCUAGCGUUGCUCGGAAUCACUGGGCGUAAAGGGUGCGUAGGCGGGUCUUUUAAGUCAGGGGUGAAAUCCUGGAGCUCAACUCCAGAACUGCCUUUGAUACUGAGGAUCUUGAGUACGGGAGAGGUGAGUGGAACUGCGAGUGUAGAGGUGAAAUUCGUAGAUAUUCGCAAGAACACCAGUGGCGAAGGCGGCUCACUGGCCCGGUACUGACGCUGAGGUGCGAAAGCGUGGGGAGCAAACAGGG
rnacentral:rRNA from 1 species